AAUCAUAAAAUUUUUGUGUCAGAUCUUAAUUGAAAAGUAUUACUUAAAAUUGGAAAAAAUUACUUAAAAUUGGCAAUUUCUUUCCUGUCUUACAACUUCUUCCUGUCUUCAGGAAAUGAAGAAUAGAUAUGUUGGUUCUAUCAGGGAAACCUUAUGAAGGAUAAACAAAUCAAUGUCUGUGCUUUACUUCCAAAUUGUACUAUCAGAAAACCUUAUUGUUCACUUACAUAAUCUAUAGAUGUCUCUCAGAAUGAUCUUAAAUUAAAAUGUCACUUAAAUAUAAUUGACUAUGGAGAAGAACAGAAGCAUGCUGAUUUUGAAAAUGUCAUUAAUACUAGGAUUAAGUCACUCUUAAACAAGAAUACUUAGAAUAACAAGAGACUAAAUGUCUAGUAAAACAUUUUAGAUUGUAAUCCCCAGUAUUCUGUAGUAUUAACAAUGAGAACUUAAAGUACUGAUGAAGAAAUUAAACUUGUCCAUUUCAUUUCAUUUUUCUUAAAGCUCUUAAAAUGAUCCUGAAAACUUUAGUUUUACAAAGUGUGAACUUCUUAUGGACCAUUAAAUUGGGGGGUAAUGUGCUGAUUUUUGUCCGGCAACCCUACCUCUGAUGCAGGAUAAUUUUUUUGUCUUUUCAAAACUGUUGCUCUUCCUAUAGCUGUAUAAUAAAAGACACUAAAGAGGAAAAACACUUGUGUGUUUGCUGUUAGAGUAAGAAAAAAUUACAGCUAGGACCUUUUUGAAAAACCUUGAGAACCAAUUUACUUUUUUUGUAUGUAAAUUGUUGAGGAGUUAGAACUCGCCUUGGUUACUUUAACUGCAGGUAAACUUAAAAGAUUUAAAUCUUCAAAAUAGACAUCAUGUAGGGCUUAUUAGAAAAGAAAUACAGAUUAUUGGGUAUAUAGAGAUUAUAUAUAUGUAUACAAUUUUUUUUUGAAUUUUUAUUUGUGAGAGCAUGUUAAAUAUCUUAGCCUUAUAAUAGCAUAGAAUAGAAUGGACAAAUGUGUUAUCUCUUUUAGCCAGUUGAGAGAACACUUUGAAUUAAAUUUCCAACCUAAUGAAAAUUAUAAGGUGGGUUAUAAAGAUAUAGGUUAUUAUUUCUUACCCAAACUAAAGGUUUAUUAUAACUAAAAUACUUUUAAUCUAAGAAGGCUCUCCAAACAUACAUCUUUUUAAAAGUGAGCUUUAUUUUAUGAUAGUACAUAUUUUAGCAAAUAAAAGUUUAUUUCACUAUCCUAGAACUAGUGUUCUAAUUUCAGAUUAGUUUUGUAGCAUGUAUAAAUAAAAUGGGAACCUGUGAGAUCUUGCUCUAUAGUAUCAAAAAUAAGAUCUUUUUCUAACAAUUUUUACUAAUAACUUAUCCAUCUCAAUUCAUAGAAGGUAAUAAAAUCAACUAUUGUUCUAUGAUUUUGAUCAUAUGUAGGAGAGAAACACAAAAUAAUGGUACCAAGGGCUUCUUCCAUUGAAACUAAUAUCUGGGAGAAUAUUUGAUUCUCAUGUGUACAUAUACACACAUCCAUAUUAGUAUUUUUUUAAUCACAUAAGAAUGAUUUGUCAAAGAUCAGGUUUCUGAUUUGUCUUUCAUCAGUAUUGGUGCACCACAUUUUGUUUUUGUUUUUGAAGUGGUCUUAGCCAGUUCAUGCUAGUCCCUACUAGAAAUUUUGUUUCCCUGGCAUAAUCAUGCUCUUUACCUACUCUGAUAGCUGGAGGGAGGUGAGAGAAGCAGUCUUACGUGUCUGCCAAUACUGAUUUUUUUAGAGAUGGGACGACAACAAAUUUUUGUUUUUUGAGGCAUCUAAACCAGCACAAAGAUAAUUUGAGCCAUAAAUAGCAGCUACAUAUGUAAUUUUAAGUUUUUAUUGGCCAUGUUAAGAAAAUAAAAAGGCAAAAUUAGUCUUUAUUACAUUUUAUUUAACCCAAUAUAUAUAAAAAUAUAAUUUCAACAUAUAAUUAAUAGAAUGUUUUAUGAGAUUUUUUUUCAUACUCAGCAUUCAAAAUCUGUGUUUUUUAUACUCACAGCACAUCUUAUAUUUGACUAGCCACAGUUAAAGUGCUUGAUAGCCAGACAUGGCUAGUUACUACCAUAUUCCACAGUUCAGAUCUAGACAAUGAAUGGAAUUCUUAUUUUAGCCUCAUCCAUGCUAAAGUCCAUUGUAUGACCCCCCCCUUUUAGUGUUUCCAAAUUUAGCAGAAGUAAAAAACAAAAUAGCAUGUCCAGUGUAGUUUGAAUUUCAAGUAAAUAACAAAUAAUUGUUUAGUGUAAUUGUGUCCCAUGUUACAUUUGGGGCAAACUUUUACCAAAAAAGUUACUGCUUAUUUAAAAUUCAAAUUUGACUGAGUAUCCUCUGUUUUAUUUGACAACCCUUCUCUGGUUUAACUUGAGAAGAGGACAUUAUCAGGCUGCCUGGAAUCUUAGACGACUAGAAAAUAAAGUAUCUCUUCCUCUGUGCAGGAUUUUAUUAACCCUCCAAAAAUCAGCCUGUAAACUAGAAAAAAUCUGUAGCCCAUUUCUUCCUAAUUAUCUAGUAGGUUUAAGACAGAAGAGGCACUUAGUCCAUACAUAUUUAAACAUUUUAAAUCAAAAUUAUUUAGGUAUAAGGUUUAUGAAAUUUUAUAAUUUGAAUGAUUACUUGAAUUUAUAAAAUAUAGAUCAUCUAACAGCACAUUGCUGCUAUCAUUUUUCUUGAAACUAGUGCUCCCUUGGCAGUUACCACAGCAGUUUUCAGGGUCUCGGCCAUUUCAAGGUAUUUUCCUACCAUUGAUUCCCAUUGCAUCUGUCACAUAAAUCUCCGGUAGUCAAGCAUUAACACAAAAUACAAGGCUACUGAAUGCCAGGAUUAGGCUUACUUCAUUACAAGUAUUUAAGUACUUGUAAUUCUUUGCUCUGGUGUUGACCAUUGGAUCCUGACCAGUUCAACAGUCAGUCUCCUAAGGGCUUCUUUUGCAGAACGAACAUCUUUUCAUUUUCAUUCUUUAACAUUUUUAAUGUAUUAAUUUUAGUACUAUUUUUGAAGCAUACAGUCACCUCCUUAGUAGCAUGGAUCUGCCCUCUUUAAGUGCUGCAGAAAAGGCUGUUUGUCUCAAAGACAGCCAUUGCACCACCUCCCUCUCAGAGAAUACUUUUCUUCACAAGCUACAUGACUCUAGGUGACGGGCCUACAUUAUUAUUUACGUAGGCAGAUGGAUGCCAACUACCAGAACAGGGUGGUAUAAUUUAGCAGUUCUGAGGCUAAGUUAUGGUGCAUUCCAAAUCCAUUCACACUUAGGAGAAUGUACCCAAGAGUGUGGGGAUGUUUACAAUUACUGCAUUUCCUUCAGAGAACAAGAACUACAGGUAAGUGUGUGUGUGUGUGUGUGUGUGUGUGUGUGUGUGUGUGUGUGUGUGAUCGAAAUAAGUAUUUUUAAAUAAUAAAUUUCAGGAUGUGAAAGUAUUGUCCUUCCCCCAAAACAGUCACCUGAAAGGUCUCAAAUAUAGUUUUCAGUAUAUAAUGUUUUUCUUCCUCACUCUAAGAAGGAAUUGGAGCUGGUGGUGAUGGUGGAGUUGGGAUGAGGGAGACAACUUAUUGUCAUUUGAAAUCUGUGGCUGUCACACAUUUUCAUGUCUAGAAAUAUCCUGGGUUUAUGUAAGAAUCUUAUUUUUGCCUAACCUCUAAUGUCUAAGGUAUGAAUUAUUUUGUCAGAUAAACACAUCUAUAUAUAAGUAAGGUGUUCAGCCUUUCUUAACUAAUGUCUUCAACAGCAGUGAGUAAAUUAAUGAGUUGUGUCUGGGUUUUCACUUUUAUUCUUAACACUGACUUCCUUUUUUUUUUUUUUUAAGUGGCUUUUGCCUUAUUUCUGAAACCAUAAUUUAAAACUACAAAAGACCUGAAAUAUAAUCUAGUACUUUUUACCUGGGGAUUAUUUAAUGGAUUUCAGAGAUUCUGCGAAUCCCCUGAAAUUACAGUCAUAUUUUGUAUACAUGUGUUUUUAGUGUGAAGAAUGUACAUAAUUUUCAUAACAAAAAAAUUUGUUCAACACCCACUGUGAUCUAGUCUAAUGUGAUUAUUUUACUGAUAAACUAACAUUUAAAGAAUUUAAGUAACUUCAUUCAUUUGAAAUUUAAUACUUGUGAAAAUUAAAGUUUAUUUCUUUAAAAUUCAUGCUGAUUUUUAAAAGAAAAUACAAUUAAUUUCAAUUAAUUAAACUUGAAAAUACCAGCCCAAAUGGGAGCAGUUAGUUUGCUAAUGGUUUCUUCUGUUCUGCCCUUUGAUUGGACUCUACUAGUUAACAUUAAAGUGGCCUUCCAUUAAGGUAUGAAACUAUGUGAUAAGUUCUUGAAGAUAGAUUAAAAAGAAAAUGAAUUAUCCAUUAUCAUUUAAGUCCUUUUUUUGCUUUUCAAAUUGUGUCUCCAAAACUAAAACUCAAGAAAAUAGGUGAAUAAUGUUUUUCCAGAAUAUUUUAAAAGUAGGUAAUUGCCUUAAUAAACAUUACACUGGGCAUUAUUGGGACAGUUUUAGGUUCUGAACCCUAGUUAAAGAGAUUCUUCAAUAGCCUAUAUACACUUCCUGUUGUUUUUCAGUGAUUACGGCACUUCAAGGUCUUUUUUAUCAUGAGAUGCUUUUAAUGUUAUAGUAAGACUUCAGAAAUGGUAAGUAAGCAAGUUCUGUAUUAAUUAGGGAAACUAAUACCUUUCUCAAAAUAAAGGAAAUACUAUUUUUUUCUUUUGCUUUUCUUGGUACUAACCAGUAAAGUCUGCCUAGUUUAAUAUCUAGUCCAUUUAUACCAUAAAUUGAAUAUUAGAAUAAAAAGAAAUUUAGAGGGUGUUAUACAGAAGACAAUUAUUUUCUGAAAGGAGUAGAAAAAAAGUAAGGCAACUUGUAACACUACGUGUGUGUGUGUGCGUGUGUGUGUGUGGGUCUGUGUCUGU